CAAAACACAGCUGGCAUGUCUAAUUUUAGCCUUGACUGCCUUGAAAAGGGACCCUUAAGGGAAAUAUAUUUUCGCUGAAACCAUUUGUAUUAUAAUGUAACAGCUGACAGACAUGUCAGAAUAUUACUUAUUAUUGGUGGGGAAAAACUCUGUCAGGUAAUUGUGCUUUUUUUUGUGAUGACAUCGGGAAAGUGAUUAAAGCAUCCCUGAAUCCAAAUCAUCAUAGAUAGACAGUGAGAGAACCAGAGCUUUUAUUUAUGAAGACGCCUGUAAACCUAAUGGGAUACCUCCUUUGAUGCUUACAAAACGGAUGUAAGGGUAAGAAUGAUCAUUUCGGCUAUGGCAAGUUGGUCCUUGUGAUCUGACGAUGCAGGGCUUGCUAAUAGUAGUCCUGGCAUAGACUCUCAAAUUUCUUCAAUGCUUAGCAUCCUCCGUGUCGUCCGAGAAGUAAAAGGAAAUACUGCAGCUUUCUGGACUGCAUACCCUGCUCCCUGGAGAGGUUCCACCCACCGGCUGGAAGGAGAGGAAGUGAAUGAAAGGACAGGAGGAGCCCGAACACCAUGUCACUCUGGAAGGGAGACAGCAGCAAACAGACUGUGCAAGUGAGUGGUGGAAGACGAAGUAUCUCUGAAGCCUCAUCAGUCAUCGGGACCAUCAGGAAUAGUUGGUUUAAGAGGACGCUUGGCCUGGGGCACUAUACCCUGUCAUCGAGUUCCCUGCUCGGAGAUAAAGAUUCCAGCUACAUGGGUAAACGCCUGGAUCAGCCACAAAUGUACCCCCAGUACACUUACUACUAUCCUCACUGUCUCCAAACCAAGUCACACAGAGAGAAAGAGAGGCACAGGCAGAGGGAGAAGCAGGCUCCAUGCACCGGGAGCCCGACGUGGGACUCGAUCCCCAGUCUCCAGGUUCGCAACCUGGGCCAAAGGCAGGCGCCAAAUCGCUGCGCCACCCAGGGAUCUCCACAAACAGAAAAUUCUUUAGAACUCUGGAGAGGCAAUCAUUCAUCAUAUAGGUAAAAAUAAUGGCAUUGCUUCUGCCUUCCUGGAGCUUAUGGGCUGGGAAAGACAUAGAAGGUCUUUACUUCUCAGAGAUACUGUUUCUCUUUAGUUCAUGUCAAUAAAUCUCCCUGAAUCAUUUCAAUGAA